rnacentral:lncRNA from 1 species
UCAUACCGGUGAGCCCAAGUUCUUUAAGUUUUCAAAUGUGGGCCCGCCAGGGAACCACGCGAAUUGGACUUCGCGCAGUUCGUGCGCGGAAUGGACAUAGGCGGACUAUACAGUUCGCUCGCGGGAUGACUUCGCGCGGAAUGGACAUAGGCGGACUAUACAAUUCGCUCACAGGAUGACUUCGCGCGGAAUGGACAUAGGCGGACUACACACUUCGCGCGGACUACACAGUCCGCAUGCGGAUUUACUAUUUGCCAGUCCGCGUAGGCGAGGCGAGAUUGACUUUCCGCAUAGGCGAGGCGAGCUUGCGAACUGGCUCGCGUAAGGGACUUCGCGAGGAAGACACAUGCGGAGUCCGCGCGUCUUACAAUAAACGUUAAAGACUUUUACAAGUCCUUGACAUGCUUCGGGCCAAUCCCUGUGGCCCUUUUGAUAUAAAAAGCCUUUCUAAAGCCCGCGAGCUAGAACGGCCCGCGAGUUGGAAUUAGAAGCCUACGCGAAGUAUGCGAACUGGACAGGUGUCACCAAUUGGUUGGCCUGCAUGGAGUAAACCUUGUCCUUGUCGAUUAGGGUUUCAGAACCCUAUUUGGGAUUCAAAGUUAACUUCCUUCCGCUGGGGAUCGAACUACUAUAUAUACUCUCUUAAACAGACAAUCAAGGGACUCUCUCAAAUCAAUACAAACACAAACCAAUACAAACUGAAACCCAGUUCCCUUUGAGCUACUCGAAACCCUAACCCUAAGCGCCGCCGCCUAGGUUUUUCUCCAGAGCCCUCCGGACCCCUUUUAGCUUCUCUCUGAACUCCCUAUAAUUGCUCUGCUUGCGCCGCCGUGAGUAUCGAUCGCUUGUGCUCGUAAAUCCUCCUCCGAGGUGGCACCUGUAACCCCCCUUUUGCCUGAUCAAGAAGUCAAGCGCACCCCCAACAACCUUUUCCUCGUCCGGGAGGUGGCACGCCCGUAACACUCUCCUCUCUUUGUCUGCUAGUUACCUCUGCUCCGCGUGCUGAGGAUCGUGGCCAAAACAUUGGCACGCCCAGUGGGACAAGGAGUACAAAGCGAUCACCAUUGGGAAACCGGAGGAAGCGCCGUACCGGAAGCCUCAGCUUUCUUGCCUCAAGCACAGAGCGCUACGGUAUAAGCCCCAUAACAGUGCGGCUUGCCGAUCCCUCACUCAAGAAGAGGUCCUUGCUCAGUUUGGUGAUCCAGACUUUAGCGAGACCGCCAUGGUAGGCUCUCAGCCGACCCAAGACACAGGUUCCGCUCCGUCCAUGGAGCGAAUCUCUCAGAUGCUCGAGCAGUUGACAAGUCAAGGUUUGGCCACUCAACAAAGUAUCACCGACCUUGCUGGGAAGGUUGACGGCCUUGCUGAACAGGUCACAAGGGACAAGACCCUUUGGGAAGCAGACCAGCACAACCUUACCGUGCUCACUGAGGACUUCAACUAGUUUGUCAGCGAAGUAAGGGAAACCAAGGGCUUGGUCGAAGGAAGCCUUCAGCAGAUUCGCUCGGAUCUAAACCAGAACACGGAGACCGUGAAGCAAAACGCGGAGACUGUGAAGCAACAUGCAGAGGUCCUGUCGCUCACUCGUGCGACAGUGGAUGAGCAGACUCGCCGCUUGUACGACCACGAUACCAAGCUGCAUGACCAGCAGAACGCUUCCUUCUUUGGAAGUAAGAACAGUCUAGAAAAGCUAGACGAAUUCAAAGAUAAACAGGACCGGCUGAACCUACGGAUUCUUGAGGUUGAAGACUGGAUGAGGGCACAGGCACCAAAAAACCCUGCUCUAAACCCUACCGGCCCAAGCGCAAGCGAAGGGACGCCCAAGUACAUCCCUCCCAAUGAAUGCACCAGGGGAAACCCUAAGGUCGGGACUCCGAAUGCCCCGCAGUUCGGGUCAGGGGCAGGAACGUCAAAGAGUCCGCUCCCCCAUGGCUCGUUUGCCUCUCCAAAGGGACUGCAUAAUUCUUUUCGCCAGGGAACCGGGACACCAGAUGACCCGUUUCUGGUUUGUCCCAGCCUUGCUCCCAAGAAAGGCGGACAGGCCGUCAGUUUCUCUGCAUGGCCGAACCAUGGGGAAGGGGCAGAGGCCGUACCCGUGGCAACAGCCGACUGGCGCCAGCUUAUCUCCUCCAUCAUCAAGGAGCAAACCAGACACGGUAAUGCUAACUUGCAGUAUCGCGACCCCUACCCGGAUAGUGUGGCGCAAUACCAUUUCCCGCAUGGGUUCAAGAACGUAGUGUUCACUACUUUCUCUGGAGAAACAGGGGAAGACGCAGCAACCCACAUGGCUCGCUUCAAAGUUCAGUGUGGCCAGUACGGGAACAAUGACAUCCUCAAGCUCAAGUUCUUUGGGACCUCUCUGUCCGGAGCUGCAUUUACUUGGUAUUCCAGGUUGAAGCCGGGAUCCAUCGCGGACUGGCCCACCAUGGAGAAACUGUUCCGGGAGACCUACGGUACCAUUGAGCCCGAGGUCGGUCUCGACUCCCUCACCCAAAUGAGCCAGCAAAGCAUGGAGUCGGGCCUUUCCUUCCUCCAACGGUUCAAGAUCCAACAAGCCAAGUGCGACUUCCUCCUACCCGAACAAGAAGCCAUUAAGUUGGCUGUUUGCGGCCUCGAGCACCGCCAACGAUUGAAGCACCAUGGGGAACGCUUCACGUCUAUGGGCGAUUUGAUUAAUAAGGUCGGCAGUUAUGAACUAAUCCUCAACAAGAUGGACGAGAAAGCGAAUGCCUCCAAAGGGACGUACGUACCGGGGAGGAACAGGAUAGUCGGGGCGCUAAACCUUCAAUCCUCCACGUUUGACCCUUACUACCAAAGGCAAGAGGACUUUGAGGCCGCGCAAGGAUAUGCUGACGACGUCGGAGCAGUCGAACUAACCGGGAAACCUUUGGCUCACAAACUGAAGAAUCUCAAGAUGACCCGUGAGCCAAUCACCAUUCAGUCCUUUGCAUGGACUAAGCCCGAAUACGAGUCUUACACGUAUGAUGCGAAAAACGCCCAUCUUUUCUUUAAUGACUUGAUUGAGGCGAACUACGUGCGCUUGGACCAUAAGAUCCCGUCCAAGGAAGAGUUAAAGGACAAGAAGUACUGCAGUUUCCACAACGCCUACAAUCACGACACCAAGGACUGUGUCAAACUCCACGACCAACUGCAGACUUGGUUGAAUUCGGGCGCCCUGAAAAUGAAGACGCCAGGAAGCACAGCUUCUCUGGUGGACGUGGAUCCCUUCCCCGCUGUGGUUGGUAUGGUCGAGGUAAAUUGGAACGACCAGCCAAAGGAGCGCAGCCGCCGUCGCGCACCAAAGCCAGACGAGCGGAGAAUCACCUUGGACCUGGCCGAACACCCAGAGAAUGAUAAUCCGCGCCGCGCACUCAAGCGAGACAGAGAGGUUGGUAAUGAUGACACACGUCAGCCAUCUCGCUGGUACACUUACAACGUCAACCUCGCGCACUAGGUUUUAGACAAUCUUAUUGAUGGCGAACUCGUCACUGUAUCAAGGGCCUUACCCUACGUUGAAUACAAGGAAGGUUGCGUCCAUUGCAAGUUCCAUGACAGUUGGGGACACAGAACCCGCGAGUGUUACCAGCUCCGCGAACAAGUUCAGGACCAGCUAGACCUCAAGUAUAUUUGCUUUGAGGACAAAGGUGGCUUUAUGGUCACAAUUGCUGACGACGUUUGGCCUCGCGUUGGCCAGCGCGCGAUAACUUUGGACUUAUCUCCAAGUGCGGGCCAACGCGAACCGCCAGGUCGAAACCGCAAGAGACCGGCGAACGACUACACCGUUCUGGCAAACCAAAAUGGGAAUCACUACCCAGCAAGGGAGUUAGCCGCCAGACCGCAGUCCAAUCGCCUCUCAAGAAAGGAUAAAGGCAAAGCUACUAUGCUGGACGAUAUACCGUCCCCAGCUGACAACUAUCAACCCAUGAGUCACAGGACUCGCGAAGAGCUAGAACAGAGGAUCAAGCGCCUCGAAACCUUCGUCCAAUCACACUGGACUACAGAUAUACCUUCGUCUCCAGCUUCAAGCGUGAUGGACAUCUCCGAGUCUGGCAGCGAACACCAGGACAGCGAGGCAUCAAGCCCUCGACGAGGUAUCUUGACCGACCCCUACAUUCCUCCGACAUCCAAAUCAGCAAUCAAGGAAGGGAUUUGGUACACACCGCAUGGGGGAAAGUUAGUUACCAUCAGCAAGUCUAAGAAACGGAAGCUACAGAAGAAGUAUGGCAGCAUCCUGCGUGCCUUGCGAGCAGCUGAUGAUGGCAUUAUCCGACCCUCGUAGCUCGCGCAGACACCCGAGAGGAUGUGGAGAGAAGCUGAAGGCUUGCGCGCUCUCCUCCAAAGACCACUUGUCACGCCUCCACGUGUCUGUGCGCAGGUAACAGACGACCCCGCUCCAAAAGCGAAUGUCUUCUGUCGCCUCACCAUACCACCAAGGCAGGAUCCACACCCCUUUAGGCACAGAUCAUCUCCGGAGCCAGAAAGGAGAAUGGAUUCACAAUCUUCCCAUCACAAGCCUUCGUCAGAACCUGAAAGAAGAAGGGAUGUGUUACCUCCUCCAAGCCGCAAGCGGUCGCCGGAAGCCGAACGACGGAGAGACCCGCCACCUCUACCAAGGCGUAGGCAGUCACCAGAGGUUGAAAGAAGACGAGAACCGUCUUCCCCAGCGAAGCGACGACUGUUCGUCUCAUCCAGGCUCGAGGCAAGGCGCGAGCCGCAUCGGUCAUCACAUCCCCAGAAACCUCUUCGCCAAGAAACUGAGGCUAAAAAGGAGCCAUCGCGACCAUGCCCGCCCCAACCAGAACCGGAACAGGAGCCUCAGGUCUCAAUCCUUCCUCCGUCUAAAGCAGAGGACGAUGCUAACAUUCCUCUAGCCGCAGAUAGGCAUUCAGCUGCAGACAAGCAGCCCUCGCCCAAACUCGUGUGGCGACCACGGCAGCCAGAGGGUAACAUCUCGCUAGGGGUCGAACGUAGCACCUCUAGCCCUAACCUCGCGGAACUCAUGGCCCAAUGCUUCCGCAAAAAUUCACUGAACGAGGAGACUCAUUCCGAGCCUCGCAUCGACUUGGGCGAAGACCAAGCAGAAGGGCAGGGUGAAUCAUUCACCUGCAAUAUGCUCGAGAUCUCUGCAUGGCCAGAACAUGAAGAAGUCAACCCAGCGGAGAGCGCAUUCGCCGUGCUCGAAGGAGACAAUGGACCCAUCGAGACUCCACUAGUCCCAGUCCACGAACAAUUCUCUUUUCAGGUCGGAAUGGUUUUCUUCAUAUCUGAGAGAUACGCUCUCCCACCAAAUACAACAUGCAACGCGGCGGAUAUUCCAGCCAAUAGCGAGAAUGUCUGCGAUAUAUCCCCCCCCUUGCAGCAGUGAGAUGGGUCCAGUCCUGGCGGAGCCUGCGAACGCUCCACCAUUGGAAGCUAUGAGCAGCAUCACACGCAUGCCGACUCUGACUUUCUCUACUCCGACCCUAGACAUGGCCACUCACAUGAGGCCAUUGUAUAUCACGGCUGAAGUUGAAGGGAUCAUGAUAAACAAAAUCAUGGUCGAUACCGGGGCUGCAGUGAAUGUCGUCACCACCCGCACUAUGGGACUCCUUGGUAUCCCACGCUCGAUGAUCCAAACUACAUCCUUGACAGUCAAGAACUUCACCGGACAAGUCUCCAGGACUCUAGGUUUGUUAUUCUUACGGGUCAAGGUGGGACCGGCUUCAAGGGUCUAUACAUUCUUUGUCGCCGAGUGCGCUUCAUCCUACAGCAUGAUCCUAGGCCGCGACUGGAUACAUAGAAGUUUCUGUGUGCCUUCCUCCAUGCACCAAGAGCUCCUGAUUUGGGAUACUGAGAAACGCGAGACGGUCCUCAUCCACGCGGACCCGCGUCCUUUCUCCAUUUUCGCCAACUUCAAUGACGCCCGCUAUUACAAUACUGACUUGGGCCCAUUGGAUGUCCAAGGCGUCGAUUCUAAAGGCCGCCCAUAUGGGGUCACUGCCUCCAACUUAACGCGAUGGGGACUCACUCAGGCGAGAGACGAUUUACAAUGUCCUCACACCAUCGUGGACCCCCUACAACCAUCUUAUGAUUAGCACAUCCUCAGAAGAAGCACGCGAGGCUGGCGAGUCCUUGUGUGAGAGACUACUCUCGUAUUGGGCAGAACGCGAAGCCUACGACAGGGUUGCCACGAUGGAGUAUGUAGACGAGAUAGUAGACUAUACCGAUACCGAGGAGGAAGUUAUUCAGUUAGCUCCCGCUGCCUUGGACGACACACCGCCUCAAGUCCGCGAUCCCACCUUACAAGUCGACGUGGGGACUGCAGAGAAACCCUUAUUACUUUCCAUCAGUGCCAAGUUGGCGGGACAAGAAAAGGAAGACCUUCUCGCCUUACUACAUGAAUAUAGGGACUGUUUCGCCGAGCAGUACGAGGACAUGCCUGGCCUAUCCCCGGAUUGAGUUUGUCACCGUCUGCCUACUCAUCCCGACAGACGUCCAGUCCGCCAAGACGGCAGAUUCAUACGAACUGAGACUUAGAUCUUGGUCAAAGAAGAAAUUGAGAACAUGCACCGAUCAUGUAUCAUUCGCGUGGCCAAAUACAAUGCAUGGUUGUCCAACAUCGUUCCAACAUGGUUGUCCAACGGGCGUCUGUGUUGAUUACCGUGACCUCAACAACGCAACGCCUAAGGAUAUAUAUCCCAUGCCUGUUGCUGACCUCCUCAUUGACGCGGCCGCGGGGCAUGAAGUGCUAUCCUUUAUGGAUGGAAUUGCUGGGUACCAUCAGAUCCCUGUUGCUGAAGAAGAUCGCCACAAGACUGUUUUCCGCUGCCCGGGGUUCGCAGGUGCAUUCGAGUAUGUCGUCAUGUCAUUCGGACUCAAGAACGCAGGGGCAACAUAUCAACGCGCCAUGAACCUUAUCUUUCACGACAUCUUGGGCAAGUUGAUCGAAGUCUACAUCGACGACGUCGUGAUUAAAACUAGGACGCGGGUGACACAUGUUGAAGACCUUCGGCAAGUUUUCACGCGGAUGCGGAAACACCAUCUGAAGAUGAACCCUGCCAAAUGUGUUUUCUUCGCGGAGGCAGGUGACUUCCUAGGGUUUCUAAUCCAUCAAAGGGGUAUCGAAAUCCCCAAAGACAAGGCGCAGGCGGUAAUAAACGCCUCGCCUCCCACAACCAAAAAAGAGCUUCAACAAUUGAUCGGGCGAAUCAACUUCCUCCGCCGUUUCAUUUCAAACGCGACAGGGAAGGUUCAGCCUUUCUCGCCUCUUUUAAAACUCCAAGGGGCGACCGAGUUCGUAUGGGAGUCACAACACCAGGAAGCCUUCGAUCGUAUCAAGGACUAUCUUGCGAACCCGCCUGUUUUGGUUCCCCCUCGCCCGGGCGUGCCACUUAAGCUUUACAUCAUCGCUGCUGAUUUUUCUAUUGGCGGACUCUUGGCACAAGACGAUGAGAAUGGGGUGGAACACGUCGUUUACUAUCUUAGCAGGUUGUUGACCGAUUGCGAGACGCGCUACUCCCCAAUGGAAAAGUUGUGUCUCGCCCUUUUCUUUGCAGGUUGCAAGCUCCACCAUUGCAUGUUAGCUUUUACCACGGUGGUGAUCGCUCAGUCCGACCUAAUUAAAUAUAUGCUUUCCCGCCCUAUCCUACGGGGACGCAUAGGUAAAUGGAUAUUGGCCUUGUCUGAAUUCUCUUUGUAGUAUGUUCCGCAUAAGGCAGUUAAAGGACAGGCCAUAGCGGACUUCCUCGCUCAUCACCCGCCCACCGAGUUGACAGCAUUCCGCGAGUUGGAGGUCGCCGCAGUCUCCCUUACUCCCUGGACUCUCUACUUCGAUGGCUCGCGUACUGAACUCGCUGCAGGUGCUGGGAUCGCCAUCGAGAACCCUGCAGGAGACCGGUUUUCUUACUCUUUCUAGCUGGACUUUAAAUGUACGAAUAAUCAGGCGGAAUACGAGGCGCUCAUUAUCAGAUUGGAAAUCUUGCUGGACUUAGGAGUCCGCGAGGUUCAAGUCUUUGGCGACUCCUUAUUGGUCGUCAACCAACUAAUGGCGAAGUUCAAGUGCUUAAGUUCGUCCAUCGAGCCUUACUUGUGGAAAGCCUUCGAUGUCUUGGACCGUUUCGACGAUGUUCACAUUGAACACAUCCCGCGCGAAUUCAACUUCGCGGCGAAUGAGCUUGCGCAGAUCGCAUCCGGUCUUAGCCUGCGCGAUGGAGUGCGCGAACGACUCCUCAAAGUCGAGCGACGUACACUUCCUUCUUUUCUUGCCCGGGGGCAAUAUGACACAGAACUUCUUACCGUCGCUGCCUUAGAUCCUAUCGAUGAAGAUUGGCGGCUACCGUUUAUUGCCUACCUCGAACACCCUCACGACGCCACCCAUUCCAGGCAAAUGCGGUUUCUCGCCCUCAACUUUGUGCUUCGCAAUGGUGAGCUUCGCCGGCGCGGCGAGGACGGUAACGAUUUCCGCUACGUAUAUGGCAAGGAGGCUAAGCGCCUUAUGCGUGAGGUGCAUUCCGGUGUUUGUGGUUCGCAUCAGGCUGGACCCAAGAUGCGUUGGUUAAUCCGUCGCCACGGCUACUACUGGCCUACCAUUCUCAAAGAUUGUAUUACUUUUGCCAAAAGAUGUCAGGAUUGCCAGGCUCACGGACCAGUGCACCACAAUCCAAACAUUCCGUUACAGCCGAUCGUCAAACCCUGGCCAUGUCGAGGUUGGGCGAUAGACUUCAUCGGUCUCAUUCAUCCCCAUUCCUCUGAGCAGCACAAGUUCCUUAUCGUGGCCACCGAUUUCUUUACCAAGUGGGUUGAGGCCGAGCCACUCAAGGUUGCUUCCGCGACCUCGGUCCGUAACUUUAUUUUCAGCGACAUUAUCUCCCGCUUUGGUAUUCCAGAAUGCAACGUGACAGACCGGGGGGCAGCUUUCAUGGCGGAUUCUGUAGUCACUUUCCUCACUGGUUAUGGCGUCACACUCGGGCAUUCAACCCCUUAUUAUGCCCAGUUCAAUGGUCAGGCGGAGGCGAGCAACAAAGUUAUCCUCGGUAUCUUGCGCAAGAUGCUAGAGUUGAACCCCCGCGUUUGGCAUCUAGAACUUCACCAUACUCUGUGGGCCUACCGUACCUCCAAGCGAGGUCCGACCGCUACCACCCCUUAUGCUCUCAUGUAUGGCCAUGAUGCCGUCUUCCCCCUGGAGGUUCACGUCGCCUCGCUUCGUGUCCAGGAACAGCACCAGUUGCUCGGCAACGACUACGUCUAGACAAUGUGGCAGGAGCUUGAAGACCUUGACGAACAUCGCAUCACUGCUUUCAACAAUCUCAUCCUUGAGAAGCAACGCGUUGCGCGGUCGUAUGAUAAAGUCACUCGAGGUCGGAGUUAUGCCGAAGGCCAAACGGUAUGGCGUGCUGUGCUCCCACUUGGAGAAAAAACUGAAGGCCACGGGAAAUGGUCCGCGCGUUGGGAGGGACCAUUUAUCAUUCAUCGCAUCUUGCCUAAGGGGGCAUACCAUUUGCGCGACCUUGACGGUACACUCCAUCCCAAUCCUAUUAAUGGUCGUUUCCUAAAACGCCACAUCGCUGGUGUUUAGGAGCGCGCGGACCCUCCUCUUCCUCCUGAUCCCGCGACCACUGUUAUUAGUGUUACACGCCGUCGCGCUUACGCUCCAUCACCUCACACUAGGGGGCAACCCGAGGGACCCGAGGGAGAAGCAUGCAAUUAGUUUUUCUUUGUAAACGUGCGUGGUCUAACUAACAGACCAAUACAAGAUUGGGGCCUAUUCUAGAGGCCCUAAGUAAAGUUUUACGUGCAAACUAGUUAUGUUCAUUUCUUCAUUUCUUUCUUUGUUUCCUGUGUAAACGUACCAAGUCUAACUAACAGACCAGUACAAGAUUGGGGCCUAUUCCAGAGGCCCUAAGUAAAGGAAAUAUUUCAAGUUGUUUUGCUCCACAUCUAGGCUAACCCCUGUGGCCUCCAAAUUUUCAAAACAGGUUCGCCAGCUUUAUACGCCCGUUCGCCGACUUCUAUUGGUUGCCUUUCAUCUGUUCGCACUGGGGGGCAGCGAAGGGCAUGGCCUCUAAUUUAUUUAUUUUUUCAUCUCUCUCUGGUUUGCACUGGGGGGCAGCGAGGUACUUGACCGUUAUCAUUCCAUGUUUAUCACCAAGUUGAUUCGCCAACGCCAAGAGCAUGCGAAUGCAAAAGUAGAGCAGGCGAAUGCGGGCAAAGUCCAAGUCCAAGGUGCCUAGGCGAGCCAUGCAGCAAUUCGCGGCAUUGCCUUGUUGGGUGAUUGGGUUUCAAGGCCCAUUCACAGGCUUGUUUACACAUUUAUUUUAUGUAUGACCCAAGCCAAUGCCAGUGGCUUUGGAGCAACAUGAACAUAAACCUCUUCAGUCAUUCUUGACAUUCAUGACUUCGAGGCUAGGGGGCAAUGUUUACGCCUAGAUUAAUAUUUUACUGGACAGUAAAUGUCUAUGUGAAUAUUAAUUACUUUCUUGGUCCAUGUCAUACCGGCGAGCCCAAGUUCUUUAAGUUUUCAAAUGUCGGCCCGCUAGGGAACCACGCGAACUGGACUUCGCGCAGUUUGUGCGCGGAAUGGACAUAGGCGGACUAUACAGUUCGCUCGCGGGAUGACUUCGCGCGGAAUGGACAUAAGCGGACUAUACAAUUCGCUCACAGGAUGACUUCGCACGGAAUGGACAUAGGCGGACUACACACUUCGCGCGGACUACACAGUCCGCGCGCGGAUUUACUAUUUGCCAGUCCGCGUAAGCGAGGCGAGAUUGACUCUCCGCAUAGGCGAGGCGAGCUUGCGAACUGGCUCGCGUAAGGGACUUCGCGAGGAAGACACAUGCAGAGUCCGCGCGUCUUACAAUAAACGUUAAAGACUUUUACAAGUCCUUGACAUGCUUCGGGCCAAUCCCUGUGGCCCUUUUGAUAUAAAAAGCCUUUCUAAAGCCCGCGAGCUAGAACGGCCCGCGAGUUGGAAUGUCACAUCCCAGGACCCGUUCCGCCGUAACACGAUAUUGUCCGCUUUGGGCCCACCGGCCCUCACGGUUUUGUUUCCGGCAGCUCAGGAGCAGCUUCCCAGUAGGUCACUCAUCCUGGGAUUGCUCUAGCAUCAACAUGCUUAACCUCGGAGUACCCAUCCCCUCCAAAGCCGCUGAGCCACCAAAAGGCCUCGUGUUAGAUUGGAGGUGGACAUGUACAUAUACAGCACAUAACCCCUCUCCGUUUGGCCGAUGUGGGAUAUUACAAUCCACCCCCCUUGGGAGUCCGACGCCCUCGUCGGCACACUCGCACCACACGGCAGAGUGGCUCUGAUACCAUUUGUCACACCCCAGGACCUAUUCCGCAACAUUUAAUAUUCAACCAAAAACUAUAGCAUGCAUUUAUUUAAAAUAAACGUCCACUCACAAAUUAGGCCUAAGCCUGAUGUCGAUCUGGGGCCUCGUUUGCUCGAGCCUCCUCACGUCCUGUUCCAAAUAUAAUAUUAAUUUCCCAACCAAUAAUCCAAUAUUUAAUCAAAAUAGGCAAAAUUACCCGAGAGCCAUAAAUACGCUCAUCAUUGCCUAACUUCGAUAUUCUUAAAUCGGAACGAUCCGAACUUAAAUAUCAUACUCAACAGUCGUAAAUACAACCUCCCCAAAAUACGACUUAAAUCAUACUGCCGGAUUCUACAUUAAUUAACCGCCAAAAAUACCAAACUUCGGAAAUUUACAAACCUAUCCAAAUCUCAUCCAAAAAUUCCAUAAAUCACAUCAAUAUAAUCCCCUUAAUAUUCCACACUUAAAACCCUAAAAAUCUCUUAACCGGCGGCGGCCGGAGGCCAAUUCCGACGACCUCCAAAACCUAUGAAAUUUUGACAGAAUAAUCUCCUCAUCAUGCUCUACAACUUUCAUGACCAACACAUCACCCAAUUCCAAGCCUAACUAGGCUAAUCGAACGAAAACAACUUAAAAGCCCUAGAAAUUUCAACUCCACAUUUCUCCUUACCUAGCUCAAGAGGGAGGGAGCUGCUUGGAGGGGUUGCUGCACGGGAGGAGGGCUACAAAACGUACCAAGCUUGCCCGGAUUGGUGGCCGGAGGAGGGAGUUCCGGCGACCGGAAGUUCGGGGUAGCCUAUCCUUUCGGGCGACACCGCUCUCUCACGGCGGCGUUAGGGGGGCUGCUACCGGCCUAGAAUGGAAGCUGGGUUGGAGGCCGUUCGAUUGGGACCGGUACGGCGGUCUGGGGCGGCCGGACGGCGACGGUCUAGCGGUCGGAAAAUCGGACAGCGGGAGGGGGUGCGGGUGCAGGAAAACCAGGAGGAAAAAGAGAGGAAAAGAGAAUGGGUUUGGGCCUCACACCCCAACCCGGUCCAUCAUAUAUCAACCCACUCCAAAAUAAAACACCCCGAAAAAAUAAUACCCGAAUAAAAAAUUACCUUUUACUAGCUAAAAUUUACUAUUUUUACCGUCGUCGUAUUUUCCUCUUACGAAUAAUCCUCAGCACAAUAAUCGUCCUCGAAACCCCUCUAGGGACCAAUUAAGCUAUUGACUCAAUGAUCGAGACGGUAAAAUUCUUAUUAUAAUCACGCUAGUAAAUAAGGUAAAAAUAUAAGGGUCGGGAUGUGACAAUUCUCCCCUCCUUAAAAAAAUUUCGUCCUCGAAAUUAACAUACAUGUCAUCCGAAGAGAUAGGGAUACUACUGCAUCAUUUGCUCCUCUGAUUCCCAAGUAGCUUCUUCUACUUGAUGACUUCUCCAAAGCACCUUGACAAGCGAGAUUGUCUUGUUCCUAAGCACUUGCUCCUUUCGGUCGAGAAUCUGAACCGGAUCCUCUUCAUAGGACAAAUCUCUCGUCAAACUAAUCGGCUGCUCUUGCAGCACAUGAGAAGGAUCGGCAAUAUACUUGCGAAGCAUGGAUACAUAUUUUAACGUCAUUUUAAUUUGACGAUUUUUAUUCCUUUUGUAGAGUUACCGAAAAUGGGAUUUCGGUGAAUAUAAAUAUGUAUUUAUUGAGAGAGUAUGUAUAUAAAAUGCUAGCUAGCCAUAUGUGUCUGUCCACCUUAAUGGCGUAGCAUAUAGCCGCAUUAUGGUGUGACGUGAGCGUUGGACGUGAGCGUAGUAGCCCUAUUUGAGUGUUUAAUUCAUAUAGGGGGUAUGGACACAUAUUUAUACACCCGUUUGUCCACCUUGAUGGCGUAGUGUAGCACCGCAUUAAAGCGUGACGUGAGCGUUGGACGCGAGCGUAGUAGCCCUAUAUAGACCCAUGAAUUUAUAUAGGGAGUAUGGACGAGUGUAAAUACAUACAUAUAUUUUUUAGAGUCUGAGAGACUCGAUAUAUUAUGAGAUAAAAGUUUUAUCGUUUGCGGCAUGCAUUCGAUUUUUCUUUGGAAAUUGAGUUGGGGAAACAUAAAUAUUUUAUUUAAUAAUUUAUUUUUGUCCACUCACUCUAACGUUUUUAAAUGUUUUUCCCCUGGGCCCUUCGUUUUUAAAAAUGCCCAGUCUGCAGAGUUCGGGUUGGAUCUAGAAGGAGGCGAGGCAUAGUCACCCGCAUUUCUGCCAGUUUUCGUCAGUAGGUUACCUGUUCAACCUACUUGUGUUCUCUUGCUUCCGCUUGUGUUUAGUAGCUCUGAAUACUUUGGGAUUAUUGUAUAUUAUGUUUAGAGUUUCUGAAGGAUAAUUAUGUGAUGUUUGGACGUUUUGUAUUAAGGGUGAAAUUUGGAAUUUUCAAGUUAGGGUUGUCCAUCUUUAAGGGAGAUUUUAUCAAUUCUUUCAGUAAAUUUUCCUUGGAGGUGGUCCCCGCACGAUUUACUCCGGGUUUCAGGGUGAAAUUCGGGGUGGGUUGUGUCAUGGAAUUAGAAGCCUACGCGAAGUAUGCGAACUAGACAGGUGUCACCAAUUGGUUGGCCUGCAUGGAGUAAACCUUGUCCUUGUCGAUUAGGGUUUCAGAACCUUAUUUGGGAUUCAAAGUUAACUUCCUUCCGCUGGGGAUCAAACUACUAUAUAUACUCUCUUAAACAGACAAUCAAGGAACUCUCUCAAAUCAAUACAAACACAAACCAAUACAAACUGAAACCCAGUUCCCUUCGAGCUACUCGAAACCCUAACCCUAAGCGCCGCCGCCUAGGUUUUUCUCCAGAGCCCUCCGGACUCUACCCCUUUUAGCUUCUCUCUGAACUCCCUAUAAUUGCUCUGCUCGCGCCGCCGUGAGUAUCGAUCGCUUGUGCUCGUAAAUCCUCCUCCGAGGUGGCACCUGUAACCCCCCCUUUUGCCUGAUCAAGAAGUCAAGUGCACCCCCAUCAACCUUUUCCUCGUUCGCGAGGUGGCACGCCCGUAACACUCUCCUCUCUUUGUCUGCUAGUUACCUCUGCUCCGCGCGCUGAGGAUCGUGGCCAAAACAGGAAUAUUUACCGAAAAUUCGGCAUAAUCUACCUUGAACAUAGACAACCCUUAUCUGGAAAAAAAAAAUCCACCGUACACUUCUAUAACCAACCAAACCAGCCUCAACACUUGGAGUCUUUCUGUUCCCCAAGUUCAUCACAUCUCCCAAAAUAUCACAUACUAAACUUCUGGAAUUCCACAACCAACAACAAAGCCAACAUUAAUUCACGAACUGGUUAUUAGAGCAUAUCUAAUAAUGAAAGAAUAACAAUGAAUAAAGAUUAAGCGGAAGCAGCCUCUGACUAUGUCUCGACUCCAUGUACGCUCGACCUCAAUUAAACUUAGCCUGCAAACUGGGCAUUUAAAACCAAAAGACCCAGGGGAAAGUAAUUUUAAAAACGUUAGAGUGAGUUGACAAAAUAAAUUAAAUAAUUUAACAAAUUACGUAAUUUAAAUAUUUUCCCACGUUUCAGUUUAAAAAAAAACUUAGCUGCACGCAACUUUGAUAAACCAUAUAACUUAAAUUUCAGAAACCCAUAAGAAUGGACAAACCAGCCCCGUUGGUUAAUCAAAUAAAUCAAUCUCGUAAGAAGAGAUAAACCAGCCCCGCUGGUUAAUCAAAUACAUAAUUGAGAAAAAUAAAAUAAGAGAAAGAGUUAUCACCAUGUAAAAGAAGUCUUCAAGGCUCGGGUCAAUGCCUCCCAAGCUAUAGUAGCGUCUCACGCUAAGCGCUCAACUCACCUAUGGUGAGGACCGCUAAUAAGAUUAACUAGCAAUAAAUAAUAAUAUCUGAUCGGUACCUCCCAGACUAUAAUAGUGUCCCACGCUAAGCGCUCUACUCAUCUAUGGUGAUGACCGCUAAUAAGACUAGCUAGCAAUAAAUAAUAAUAUCCGAUCGGUGCCUCCUAGGCUAUAAUAGCGUCCCACGCUAAGCGCUCUACUCACAUAUGAUGAAGACUGCUAAUAAAGGCUAGCUAGUAAUGAAAUAUGAGCGUCCCUAUAAUAUGGUGACUAAAAACAUACGAAACCACUUAAAUCAAUUAAACUUCCCCAAGAUCAUAUAAAUAGUACGGUUCCCAACCGUACCUUAAAAUUUUCAUAAGAAAUUAACAUAAAACUCAAUGACGUGUUUCACACGUCAAAAUAUUCUUAAAUCCUUAAUUAUAAGCGAGAUUUAAUCCUCAAGUAAAAAUUUAUUAAUAUCUCAAUCCGAAAUACUCGCUAAAAUAUUCUCAAGGUCAAAAUCAAUCUUCCACAAAUAAACAAUA